CAGGAUGACACUCUACAUUUAUCUCAUAUGAAAACAAAGGACCAUAAAUCACAUGAAUCACAAACCCAAUACAAGCUUCGCAGGCUGCAUUAGAUUCUUGUGUGUUGUCUGAGUCACCAAACCUUUUCUCACACUGAACAAUGAGAGCGGAGCAAUGUUCUUGUCCUCCACUUCCUGAAAAGCUUUAACUCUCUCUCCUCCACCAGUCACCGCACCCACAAGGUUCUCCACGGUCAGCUGAUAGCUUUCACUUCCGUCUCUGACUUAUUUACAUAAUUAUUUAAAAGCUGGUGAUUCAAAGUUACUCAAUGAUAAUUUAAUCAAACUUUAUUUAACGGUUGUUUCAUGGACUUUAAACCCAUUUGUCACAGAGGAGGAGAUGUGCUGGUUGUCCGACUUCCUGUAGAGGUGAACAGGGACACUUUGGAUCACCCAGGCCUGGUGCAUCAGGCAGAUGAAUAUGACAACAUCCCUCAACAUUCCUCACUUCCAAGAGUGCUAUCAAAUCAGCUUCCAAUUAUGGACCGGACACACAGACACACAGAGAGCCUGGCUCGAUUCAGAGCACGUAGACCUGUUCGUUGUUUGGCUUAUGGGCUUCUGAGGCUUCAGAGGCUUUCCAGUCCACCGAGAUCCAGCAGAGGAAGAACAGGUCGCCUUCUGGAGCUGGCCACAGCCGGACAACUGGGGUGAAGGCUGCUCCACUGUUCCACCAGGACUUCUGACCAGACUGCACGGGAUGCCACAACCCGGCGUCACAACAGCAGACGGUCAGAGUAGGAGGGGUAGACAGCGGAAAUGUAGAGAUUGAAAAAAAUAGGGUAAGGCUCCGGACAGAAGCAGAGGGGGAGAGAGAGAGAGAGAGAGAGAGAGAGAGAGCACAAUGAUGAACACACCCAAUGCUAUGAGUAUGUCAUAAGAGUGUGGGUUUGUAUAUAAAUGUGUGUUCGCAAAGAGGUGAAACUGGAGCCACACGUACACAGAGCGUAUCUGC